rnacentral:rRNA from 1 species
CCUACGGGUGGCAGCAGUGGGGAAUAUUGCACAAUGGGGGGAACCCUGAUGCAGCGACGCCGCGUGAGCGAUGAAGUAUUUCGGUAUGUAAAGCUCUAUCUGCAGGGAAGAAAAUGACGGUACCUGACUAAGAAGCCCCGGCUAACUACGUGCCAGCAGCCGCGGUAAUACGGAGGGGGCAAGCGUUAUCCGGAUUUACUGGGUGGAAAGGGAGCGUAGACGGCUGUGCAAGUCUGGAGUGAAAGGGAUGGGCUCAACCUGUGGAUUGCUUUGGAAACUGUGCGGCUUGAGUGUAGGAGAGGUAAGUGGAAUUCCUAGUGUAGCGGUGAAAUGCGUAGAUAUUAGGAAGAACACCAGUGGCGAAGGCAGCUUGCUGGACGAUGACUGACGUUGAGGCUCGAAAGCGUGGGGAGCAAACAGGAUUAGAUACCCGAGUAGUC